CGAAGGGUGCAAGCGUUACUCGGAAUUACUGGGCGUAAAGCGUGCGUAGGUGGUUCGUUAAGUCUGAUGUGAAAGCCCUGGGCUCAACCUGGGAAUGGCAUUGGAUACUGGCGACCUAGAGUGCGGUAGAGGGUGGCGGAAUUCCCGGUGUAGCAGUGAAAUGCGUAGAUAUCGGGAGGAACAUCCGUGGCGAAGGCGGCCACCUGGACCAGCACUGACACUGAGGCACGAAAGCGUGGGGAGCAAACAGGAUUAGAUACCCUGGUAGUCCACGCCCUAAACGAUGCGAACUGGAUGUUGGGUGCAACUUGGCACUCAGUAUCGAAGCUAACGCGUUAAGUUCGCCGCCUGGGGAGUACGGUCGCAAGACUG
rnacentral:rRNA from 1 species